rnacentral:lncRNA from 1 species
UUUUUUUUUUUUUUUUUUUUAAACAGUAGUGUACCUGCUAAACUAAGUUUCUCCCUGCCGGCUCGGACUUUGGUCUUGACGUUCCUGGUUUUGUGGAGGUGGUAUGGUGAACUUUUUCAUACUCGGAGCUUUUUGUUUCAUCUUAAUUUUUCCCUAGAGAAAGUGCCCAGGAGUGGUUUCACUAGGUCAAGGACUCUUAAGGUUUUAUGGCUCUCACAAGCUGUGCCAUGCUAUUUCUCAGAAGACUCAGUGGGUUCUGGAGCCAAGAAGGCAGCUCUUUGGGGGAUGGGCUCUGUGGACUUGUUGGAUGCUCUUGGGGAUGUUGCAUUCAACAAGGCAUGUGCUUUCAUGGAUACGUUUCCUGGUCGUUUCUACUUUUAAAGAUUUAUUUUUGUAUGUAUAAGUGCUUUGCCCGUUUGUAUGGUAUGUGUGCCCAGGGUCCACAGAGACCAGAAGAAGAGGGCCCUUUAUUCCCUAGAACUGCAGUGACAGACUGCAGUGAACACCAUGUGGUCCUCUGCAAGAGCAGCCAGCCUUUCUAACCCUGAGCCAUUCAUCCUGUCCCUCUUGAUUAUGUCUCUUUGAAGUUUUCCAGGAUUGUUUUUUAUGUGUAUGGAUGUUUUGUGUGCAUGUUUGUAAGUGUCUUCAUACUUUACUGAUGCCCACAGAGACCAGGAGUGGGCUCUGGAUCCCCUGGGAUGGAGUUAGGGAUAGUUGUGAGGCCACCAUGUAGGUGCUAGGUUCCUCUGCAAGAGCAGCCAUGCCGGGCUUGGUGCCACAUGCCUUUCAUCCCAGCCCAAGAGAUGGGGCAAGUGAAUCUUUGGAACUUGAGGCCAGCCUGGUCUAUAUAGGGAGUAGACUUACAACAAGUGCUCUUAACCUCUUCAGCCCUUGUAUUUGAAUUUUACAUGAGCUUGCACUGAGACUGUGUAUGAAGAUGUUUGGGGGUCUGUAGUGUAUAAUGCCAGUGCAGAUCCAUGGUUUCUGAAGGAACUGUUCUAAAACUUUCUGGCUGUUAAAAAAUUGUUAAUCCUUUUUUAUUUGUGUUAUUAGCUGUUAGUUUAUGAUCACUUUUGAAAAAAAAAGUUAGCUUGUGGUGAAGCAUGGUGGUAGGAUUAACUGAAGGAGGUUGAGGCAGGAGGAUCAUGAGUUACAGGCCAGCCUGGGCUACACAUGUACUGUUCAGAGGUGGUGUACACCUUUGAUCCUAACACCGGGGAGGCAGACAGGCAGUCUGCUGCUGUACCGAGCAGCCAGGGCUACGCAGAGAAACCCUGUCUUGGAAAAACAAGUUUAAUUUGUUUAUGCAUACCUCUUGUCUGUCUGGUGCCUGUGGAGGUCAGAAGAGGAGGCCAGAUGCCCUAGAGCUGUAGUUAUGGACGGUCAUUGGGCCACUGUGUGGAUGCUGGGAACUGAGCCCAGGUCCUCUGCAAGAGCGGCCAGUGCUCUUAACUGCUGAGCUACCUGUCCACAACCAUGCCUUUAUUUUUUGAGUUCAGAUCUUUUGUAUCCGAUUGUUCUUGUCCUUGAAACUUUGGUGUGCCUGCCCAACCCCCUCCCAACUGUUGGGAUUGUAAGUGUGCACCUGCCUACUUUAUGCAGUGUUGGGGUGGUCAUUCAGAGCUUGUCUGCAUGCUAGGCACACGUUGUAGCUACAUCCUCAGCUCCUAGUUAGUGACUGCACUGGGAGUCAUCAUGGGUUAAUUCAUAUCCCUGCCUUCCUUUCCUCUUUAUUGGGUUUAGUGGUUCGAGGGGCAGCAUCUACUUUGUAGACCAGGCUGCUCAAAAUUUUGUUUGCUUUCUUUGUUUUGAGACAAAUUUGUAGCCUUGGGCUUAAAGGCUUGUAUCUGUCACUCCUGGCUUAUAGGCUUAGACAUUUUUUUAAAUUUACUUUUUAAAAUUUAUGUGUGUAUAUGUGAGCUUGUGUGGUUGUGUACCACAUGUGUGCAGGAGCCCUGAGGAAAACCAGACCAGGGCACUGAGUUGGAGAUGGAGGCAGUUGUGAGCUGCCAUGUGGGUACUGUGGACUGAACCUGUGUCGUCUUCUGGGAUAGGUAAGCAUUUGUAAGGAAGGAGUCAGCUCUCAAGUGUGACUUGUAGCUUUUGUUUUUGUUUUUGUAUUCUUUUUCAGACAGGGUCUCUUACACAAUUGUGACAAUCCUGAAAGUCACUGUGUAGUCCCGGCUGGUCUCCUAAUUCAGAGAGAUCUACCUGUCUCUGCCUUCUCAGGUGCACUCUCAAGCCUGGGUUAGUUUUGGAUUUUUAGUUGUUGUUGUUGUUUUUGACAGGGUUUCUUUGUGUAAUAGCCCUGCUGUCCUGGAACUUGCUUUGCAGUCUAGGCUGAUCUCUAAGAGAUAGACCUGAGUGCUGGGAUUAGAGGCAUGGGCCACCAUUGCCUGGCUUGCCUGGAACUCCUUGAAGCAUGCAUCUUCUUGCCCCUGCCUCAGGCACCAUGGCAGGCUCCCACACUUACUUUAAAAAAAAAAAAUGUAGCCUAGGCUGGCUCACAAGCACAUUUGGGAUUUCAGGUGUGUACCACCAUCCUCUACACUUCACACUUUAAACACCUUUUUUUUUUCUUUAAAAUUACAUUUGCAGGGCCUGGAGAAAUGGUUUAGUGGUUAAGAGCACUGGCCACUCUUCCAGUGGACUGGGGUUAAGCUCCAAGCACCUACAAGACAGCUCGCAACUGUCUGUAACUCCUGUUCCAGGGAUCUGACUCCCUUACACAUGCAGGCAAGACACCAGCAUACAUAAAAUACAAAAUAAAUUACAUUUUGAGAGAGAGAGAGAGAAUACAUGAAUGUGUGUGUGUGUGUUGGUAAAUUUCACAGUUGUGUGAUUGAAGAUCCCAGGACAACUUGGAGGAGCUGGUUGUGGGCCAGCGAGAUGGAAUCCAGGUUACCUGCCAGAUGCCAGACCGGGGGCAAAUGCCUUUCUCUUUAAGCCUUCUUACCAACCCUCUCACUUUUUAAGAACUUUCUCUGCUUUAAUCCCAGCAUUUAGGAGGCAGAGGCAGGUGGAUCUCUGAGUUCACGGCCAGCCUGGUCUACAGAGUUCCAGGACAGCCAGGGCUACACAGAGAAACCUCAUCUUGG